AUCUUCUUGUACAGUCGUGCUUAGAAAAACCAAAUUGAAUGGUUAUAUCUCUGACAUUUGUCUUUCGAUUUAUUUAAGGGUCCUUUUAUCAAUGGGAAAGAGGUUUCUGCUGCUGAUUUGUCGCUUGGACCCAAGUUGUAUCAUCUAGAGAUUGCUCUGGAGCAUUUCAAAGAUUGGUCAAUUCCUGAUUCCCUUCCAUAUGUGAAAUCUUACAUGAAGAGUAUAUUCUCACUGGAUUCAUUCGUUAAAACUAGUGCCCUGAAAGAAGAUGUCAUUGCGGGUUGGCGUCCAAAAGUCUUGGGUUAAAAUGUCUUGCUGCUGUUCUCUCUUGGUAUAUACCUGUACCGUACCUUAAUCAAGUCAAUCAUUUCUGUAUCAUCGACUUAGUGUAUUGAAAGUCACAUUGUCAGAUGAGAGAGUACACCGAGUUCAUAGACUCUGGCGGGAAAAGGAAAAACAAGGACGUUGAUCAGGUUUAGAGUUUGGAGUGUCUUGUGUGUAUUGUGAAUUAGAAACUCCUCAGUUAAGGAUAUGUGUUGAGUUAC